UUAUAUGAUGCAACCGCACUGGGCACCGACAAUUCUUGAUGGAUACGCUCUUUUGUGGCAGGCCUAGAAAACCUCGCCGACUGAUC
rnacentral:snoRNA from 1 species